GAUGAACGCUAGCGAUAGGCUUAACACAUGCAAGUCGAGGGGCAGCAGGUCUUCGGAUGCUGGCGACCGGCGCACGGGUGAGUAACGCGUAUGCAACCUACCCAUUACAGGGGGAUAGCCCGUUGAAAGACGGAUUAAUACCGCAUAAAACAGGGAUGCCGCAUGGUAUUAUUUGUUAAAGAUUUAUUGGUAAUGGAUGGGCAUGCGUAACAUUAGCUAGUUGGUGAGGUAACGGCUCACCAAGGCAACGAUGUUUAGGGGUUCUGAGAGGAAGGUCCCCCACACUGGUACUGAGACACGGACCAGACUCCUACGGGAGGCAGCAGUGAGGAAUAUUGGUCAAUGGUCGAGAGACUGAACCAGCCAAAUCGCGUGAAGGACGACGGUAUUAUGUAUUGUAAACUUCUUUUAUAUAGGAAUAAAACACAGGACGUGUCCUGUAUUGUAUGUACUAUAUGAAUAAGCAUCGGCUAACUCCGUGCCAGCAGCCGCGGUAAUACGGAGGAUGCGAGCGUUAUCCGGAUUUAUUGGGUUUAAAGGGUGCGUAGGUGGAUUUUUAAGUCAGCGGUGAAAGGUUCCAGCUUAACUGGGACAUUGCCGUUGAAACUGGGAAUCUUGAGUAUGGACGAGGUAGGCGGAAUUCGUAGUGUAGCGGUGAAAUGCAUAGAUAUUACGAAGAACCCCGAUAGCGCAGGCAGCUUACCAGGCCAUAACUGACACUGAAGCACGAAAGUGUGGGUAUCAAACAGGAUUAGAUACCCUGGUAGUCCACACAGUAAACGAUGAAUACUAGCUGUUUGCGAUAUACAGUAAGCGGCACAGCGAAAGCGUUAAGUAUUCCACCUGGGGAGUACGCCGGCAACGGUGAAACUCAAAGGAAUUGACGGGGGCCCGCACAAGCGGAGGAACAUGUGGUUUAAUUCGAUGAUACGCGAGGAACCUUACCCGGGCUCGAACGGCUAAUGAAUUUGGUUGAAAUAUCAAAGCUAGUAAUAGCAUUAGUCGAGGUGCUGCAUGGUUGUCGUCAGCUCGUGCCGUGAGGUGUCGGCUUAAGUGCCAUAACGAGCGCAACCCUUAUCUUUAGUUACCAUCAGGUAGUGCUGGGGACUCUAGAGAGACUGCCACCGUAAGGUGUGAGGAAGGUGGGGAUGACGUCAAAUCAGCACGGCCCUUACGUCCGGGGCUACACACGUGUUACAAUGGGAGGUACAAAGGGCAGCUACAUAGCGAUAUGAUGCAAAUCUCUAAAACCUCUCCCAGUUCGGAUUGGAGUCUGCAACCCGACUCCAUGAAGCUGGAUUCGCUAGUAAUCGCGCAUCAGCCAUGGCGCGGUGAAUACGUUCCCGGGCCUUGUACACACCGCCCGUCAAGCCAUGGGAGCCGAGGGGACCUGAAGUACGUAACCGCAAGGAUCGUCCUAGGGUAAACUUGGUGACUGGGGCU
rnacentral:rRNA from 1 species